rnacentral:piRNA from 1 species
UAAGAAAACGGUCAUAACUUCAAAGUAA